UACGUAGGGUGCAAGCGUUAAUCGGAAUUACUGGGCGCAAAGCGUGCGCAGGCGGUUGUGCAAGACAGAUGUGAAAUCCCCGGGCUCAACCUGGGAAUUGCAUUUGUGACUGCACGGCUAGAGUGUGUCAGAGGGGGGUAGAAUUCCACGUGUAGCAGUGAAAUGCGUAGAUAUGUGGAGGAAUACCGAUGGCGAAGGCAGCCCCCUGGGAUAACACUGACGCUCAUGCACGAAAGCGUGGGGAGCAAACAGG
rnacentral:rRNA from 1 species